rnacentral:rRNA from 1 species
UUAAAGUUGUUGCAGUUAAAAAGCUCGUAGUUGAACCUUGGGCCUGGCUGGCCGGUCCGCCUCACCGCGUGCACUGGUCCGGCCGGGCCUUUCCUCCUGGGGAGCCGCAUGCCCUUCACUGGGUGUGUCGGGGAACCAGGACUUUUACUUUGAAAAAAUUAGAGUGUUCAAAGCAGGCCUAUGCUCGAAUACAUUAGCAUGGAAUAAUA